rnacentral:rRNA from 1 species
UAGGGAAUAUUGCGCAAUGGGCGAAAGCCUGACGCAGCGACGCCGCGUGAGUGAUGAAGGCCUUAGGGUCGUAAAGCUCUGUUGAAUGGGAAGAAAAAAAUGACGGUACCAUUUGAGAAAGGAUCGGCUAACUUCGUGCCAGCAGCCGCGGUAAGACGAGGGAUCCUAGCGUUGUUCGGAAUCAUUGGGCGUAAAGCGUGUGUAGGUUGCCAUUCAAGUCAGUUGUGAAAGCCCCGGGCUCAACCCGGGAAGUGCUUCUGAUACUGUUUGGCUUGAGUACUGGAGAGGAUAGUAGAAUUCCUGGUGUAGUGGUGAAAUACGUAGAUAUCAGGAGGAAUACCGGUGGCGAAGGCGGCUAUCUGGCCAUGUACUGACACUGAGACACGAAAGCGUGGGGAGCAAACAG